UUUUCCAUCACUGCUCCAAUAUCGUGCUGAUUAGUUGCCAAAUUAAACAGUAAUGAAAACAUGAAAGCCUAUAUAUGGAAUAAGAUGAGUAAUGAGAAAUUUGCAUCAUCACAUAGCGGGAGAGACAUGAAUUCACUACGAACCUCCCUCCUCUGUUUCCUACUCUCUAUCAUUUUCAUACCCAACUUCACUGCUUCUGAGAUCCUAUUUCAGGGGUUCAAUUGGGAAUCAGCAAGGAAGGGAGGAUGGUACAACAUCUUGAAGCAGUCUGCAGCUGAACUAGCUUCGUCAAAGAUAACGCAUGUUUGGCUUCCACCAUCUUCUCAGGCUGUUUCAGAUGAAGGCUACAUGCCUGGCAGGCUCUAUGAUCUCACAUCAAAAUAUGGAAGCCAAGAUGAAUUAAAGGCACUGAUAAAAACCUACAAGGACAACGGGAUACAGAGCAUAGCAGAUAUUGUUAUAAACCAUAGAUGUGCGCAGAAGCAAGAUGAGAGAGGAAUAUGGUGCAUUUUUGAAGGAGGAACAGCAGAUGAUCGCCUUGAUUGGGGACCGUCACUUAUUUGCAGCGACGACACAAAAUAUUCUGAUGGCAAGGGGAACCCUGAUACUGGACUUGACUUUGGUGGUGCCCCUGACAUUGAUCACAAAAACACAAGGGUCCAGAAUGAGCUUUCAGGUUGGAUGAAUUGGUUAAAGAACGAAAUUGGUUAUAGCGGAUGGCGAUUUGAUUUUGUCAGGGGAUAUGCUCCAGAGUACACCAAGUUGUAUGUGGCAAACACAAAGCCUAGUUUUGCAGUAGGAGAGUUUUGGAACUCCCUUGCUUAUGGAAGUGAUGGAAAACCUGAGUACAAUCAGGACAACCAUCGCAAUGAGCUAGCUGGAUGGAUAGGGAAAGCCGGAGGAGAGGUUACUGCUUUUGAUUUCACAACUAAAGGGAUACUUCAAGCUGCUGUCCAAGGUGAACUGGGGAGGUUGAAGGACUCAAGAGGAGGUCCUCCUGGAUUGAUUGGAAUAAUGCCACGCAAUAGUGUGACCUUCGUAGACAAUCAUGAUACAGGCUCCACCCAAAAAUUGUGGCCAUUUCCUUCAGAUAAAGUCAUGCAGGGAUAUGCUUACAUUCUUACUCAUCCAGGGAUCCCAUCAGUAUUCUAUGACCACUUCUUUGACUGGGGAUUGAAAGAGGAGAUCUCGAAACUCGCUGCAAUAAGGUCCAGGAAUGGGAUCAAACCCGACAGUGCCGUGCAGAUCCUAGCAGCUGAUGCAGAUCUCUAUGUAGCUUCCAUAGAUGACAAAGUCAUAAUGAAGAUUGGUCCCAGAUUCGACCUUGGGAACCUUGUUCCUCCAACAUACAAAGUUGCAACUUCUGGGAAGGAUUAUGCUGUGUGGGAGAAAUCAGCAUGAACGUCUUGUUUAUAAACAAUCGAUUAAUAAAGUGCUGGUAAUUGAUGUAUUGCAACUUGCAAAGCAAGCAUGCAUGGUGAAGAGCAAGUCUUUCUGAUAUUUCUGGAAAUAAGAGUAACUGCAAGAUUCACAAAACUUGACUGGUAAGGCACAUUAAGUCAAUAAUAUAUGGAACAUGUAAAACGUCCAUAUAUUUAUCAAGCUUGCAAUUGCAUAGAUAAACUUACCCCGGCAUCAGAAGCGACGAGGCAUAUGAUUACGCAGGCUAUGAAUUCUUCGAGAAAAUGUUUUAAUGCCCCAUCCAACUGAUCCAAGGAUGUUUCUCUGUCGAGAAGUUCCAA